rfam:Anopheles gambiae str. PEST whole genome shotgun sequencing project, whole genome shotgun sequence.
GUUGGCGUAGGCUCUGCAAUGGGAUGGGAUCCGAAGCCCUCCGAGGGAUAAUACAGGCUCUCCCAUCCAACUCCUAUUCCGACACGUCCGCGUCGUGCAGAGUGGUAACAUGUGCCUCCAUAUAUCCUAGCUUGGGUACACGGGCUAGAUCCAACCCCUUGGGCGGAUGGUGGCACAUGGCGAACCAGGAGGGG